CGGCUUCCUACGGGAGGCAGCAGUGGGGAAUUUUGCACAAUGGACGAAAGUCUGAUGCAGCGACGCCGCGUGGAGGAUGACGGUCUUCGGAUUGUAAACUCCUGUUAAGAGGGACGAAAGCCGCUUGGUUAAUAUCCAAGCGAGAUGACGGUACCUCUAGAGAAAGCUCCGGCUAACUUCGUGCCAGCAGCCGCGGUAAUACGAAGGGAGCGAGCGUUAUUCGGAAUUACUGGGCGUAAAGAGCGCGUAGGCGGCUUAUUAAGUUAGUUGUUAAAGACCAUGGCUUACCCAUGGAAAUGCAAUUAAUACUGGUGAGCUAAGAGGGCAAGAGAGAGAAGUGGAAUUCUCGGAGUAGCGGUAAAAUGCGUAGAUCUCGAGAGGAACACCGAUGGCGAAGGCAGCUUCUUGGAUUGUGCCUGACGCUGAGGCGCGAAAGCGUGGGGAGCAAACAGGAUUAGAUACCCCAGUAGUCCAAGCCG
rnacentral:rRNA from 1 species